rnacentral:misc_RNA from 1 species
AAAGAUGUCAUCUUUACUCAGGGAAAAAGCAUGGGCAGUACAAAAUUUACAUUCAAGCUCUCCGAAAUUAUUUCAACCCUUGGCAUGUCUUUUUUCACGUGGUCAAACAAGAACUGAAGAGUAUGACGUCAUUAAUAAUUACUUUGAUAAGUUACACACAUACAACGUUAACCUGAAUGAAAAGUAAUUCAUGGAUUUCCACCAACAAGUUGUAUUUUGUUUGAUUUAUUUUUUCCUCUCUCACAUGUUACUUUUUUAUGUACAUUGUACAAGUUCACAUGAACAAAACUGCUCCCUAGGCUCUCCUCUUACUAGAUAUAUGUUUCAUUUAGUUUUUCUUGUUUACAUACUGUAUACAUAACUAAACAUUAAUAUGUUUGUCUUUUUAUUUGUUCUUUCUAACUGCUGCAAUAUAAUACUUUAUUUGCAAUGUAAAAUUAGCUUCAUUAUAGUAUUUAAUCAAUGCGUGGCAAAACAGGCCGUAUCGGUUUUGUAGAAAUCAUAGUUUAUACUGCAAUAUAAAUUAGUUUAUAAUAGUAUUUAACAAAUGUGUGACAAAAUAGGCUUUAUUGGUUAUGUUCCAAUCAUUAUUAGUUCAAAUCGUUGGUGCCUUUUAUAAAUGUAUUAAAGCAUUAUAGUAUACAUGAUGUAAAGUCUUAACCAGUACACAUUUCUGUGUAAUCCAUAUAUUAUUUGUUGCGGUUUGAAGACAUUUUAUUGCAAAUUUUACACUUUCACAGCUAAUAGGUUGUUAAUGCUAAAAGAUAAAGAUUAGGGUGAAGGACCCAAUAUUAAACAAGGCAGAUUCAAGUGUUUGAACAAUAGUAUGUACCUGGCAUUCUCAAAUGUUUGUUGUAAUGAACAAUAAAACAACACUUUAUGUAGAUUUGAUGACCUACUGGCGAUCUCUCUAUUUAAUAUAAAGAUGUUGUUGAGAAAUUUUUAAAUGAUCAAAGGAUGGCAUAUAAACGUCACGUUUUAUUUUAAGGGCAUUGUUCAGCAAAAUAAAGCAAAAUAUCUGAUGUAUAUGUUUCCCUCUACUUUGUAUCAGCAGCCCUACCUAUUAUCACGGAGAUUUUGCUUUCUUCUGACAAAUGUAUAUUAAAUGUGUCAAAUUUGAUCAGAGAUAUGUAUAUUGUUGUAUUGUUAAACAAAGAUUUUUGCAUUAUAAUUAUUAUCACUGCUUAUACAUGUUUUAUUUAUCUUUCUUUUCAUCACUAUGCAAUACUUUAGUUCUUAUACAUAAUUGAAUGCAUAUGCUUGAUUGUAAAACCAAUAUAUUCUUGUAUUAUGCAAUUAUUUCAUUUUUAUAAUUAAAUAUGCGUUAUUU